rnacentral:rRNA from 2 species
CUUGCUGGGUGGAUUAGUGGCGAACGGCCCGAGUAACACGUGAGUAACCUGCCCUUGACUCUGGGAUAAGCCUGGGAAACUGGGUCUAAUACUGGAUAUGACUGCUCCGCGCAUGCGGUGGUGGUGGAAAGCUUUUGCGGUUUUGGAUGGACUCGCGGCCUAUCAGCUUGUUGGUGGGGUAAUGGCCUACCAAGGCGACGACGGGUAGCCGGCCUGAGAGGGUGACCGGCCACACUGGGACUGAGACACGGCCCAGACUCCUACGGGAGGCAGCAGUGGGGAAUAUUGCACAAUGGGCGCAAGCCUGAUGCAGCGACGCCGCGUGAGGGAUGACGGCCUUCGGGUUGUAAACCUCUUUCAGUAGGGAAGAAGCUUUCGGGUGACGGUACCUGCAGAAGAAGCGCCGGCUAACUACGUGCCAGCAGCCGCGGUAAUACGUAGGGCGCAAGCGUUAUCCGGAAUUAUUGGGCGUAAAGAGCUCGUAGGCGGUUUGUCGCGUCUGCUGUGAAAGACCGGGGCUCAACUCCGGUUCUGCAGUGGGUACGGGCAGACUAGAGUGAUGUAGGGGAGACUGGAAUUCCUGGUGUAGCGGUGAAAUGC